UGGCAAUUACAGUCAGUCUGGGUGAGAGCGGAGGAACCAAUUUUUGGGGCUAAUCUCCAAUGCGAGAGAGACACCUUCCCGUCUUAGCCCGUCAGCUAACUUCGUCGGCAAUGGGAGGAACA
rnacentral:sRNA from 2 species